rnacentral:rRNA from 1 species
GAUGAACGCUAGCUACAGGCUUAACACAUGCAAGUCGAGGGGCAGCACGACCUAGCAAUAGGUUGAUGGCGACCGGCGCACGUGUGAGUCACACGUAUCCCACCUGCUGAUUAUUCCGGGAUAGCCUUUCGAAAGAAAGUUUAACACUGGAUAGCAUAACGAUACGGCAUCUUCUUGUUAUUAUAGAAUUUCGAUAAUCUAUGGGGAUGCGUUCCAUUAGUUUGUUGGCGGGGGAACGGUCCACCAAGACGUCGAUGGAUAGGGGUUCUGAGAGGAAGGUCCCCCACAUUGGAACUGAGCCACGGUCCAAACUCCUACGGGAGGCAGCAGUAAGGGAGAUUGGUCAAUGGACGAGAGUCUGAACCAGCCAAGUAGCGUGAAGGAAGGCUGCCCUAUGGAUUGUAAACUUCUUUUAGAAGGGAGUAAAGUGGGCCACGGGUGGCUUUUUGUAUGUACCAGACGAAUAAGGAUCGGCUAACUACGUG